CAGGUAUGUUACGAUAUCGGCCUCAAGGAGUUUACGUGUUUAACCUGUUGUUUUAAUUCAUACUUUUGAGAAUAAAAUAAUGGAAAGGACACAUAUAUCUUCUUGGUUUCUUAGUUUCAGACGGACGAACGCACGCACGCACGCACGCACGGAAAAACAGACGUGAUGACAACACCAAAACAAUAUCCCUCCUCCGCCUUCGGCGAUGAAUAAUAACUGUUCAACUUUCGAACGACUUAUUUAUUUGUCGUACUAACUGAAUCAUUCUUGCUCAAAUAUCAUCAUCCAAUCAUAGCGCUGUGCAAAUGUCCAAGAAAUGGUUUCGACAUAAAAGAAGAAAUGCACAUACGUAUGUUCUACGGUUUCAAAUGACAAUUAUGAUGUCCAGACUUUGUAAGACUGUAUGUGUAUGUGAAUCGCUGUCACAUAUUUUUGUUUUCACAUAAUUAAAAAAAAAUGUUCGUGGUUUUUCA